rnacentral:rRNA from 1 species
AUGCAUAUUGAAGAGUUAUUAAAGUUAAAAGCUAUAAGAGAAAGCAGAAGCCCUCAUCGAUCUGCUGCUUUUAUAGUUAGAAAUCAUGCUGAAGAAGUUAGAGGUAAAUCUAGAAUGGUAAUUAACUUUAAAAGGCUUAAUGAUAAUACAGUUGACGAUGCAUAUAACAUACCUAAUAAGCAGGAAUGGAUUAACAGAAUACAAGGAAGUAAAUAUUUCUCCAAAUUCGAUUUGAAGGCAGGAUUUUGGCAAGUAAAAAUGGCUGAAGAAUCUAUUCCAUGGACAGCAUUUACUUGUCCACAAGGCCAUUAUGAAUGGCUAGUAAUGCCAUUAGGCCUAAAGAAUGCACCUGCACUAUUUCAAAUAAAGAUGCAAAAUAUAUUUAAUGAGAAUCAAGCAUUUAUAUUAGUAUACGUAGAUGAUUUGUUAGUAUUCUCAAAAUCAUACAAAGAGCAUAUAGCCCAUCUUGAAGUGUUCUUUCGAAAGGUAGAACAAAAUGGGCUCAUACUAUCUAAAAAGAAGAUGGAGAUUUGCAAAGAGAAAAUAAAUUUCCUUGGUCAUGAAAUAGGAGAAGGAAAAAUAUAUCUACAAGAACAUAUUGCAAAGAAAAUAUUAGAGUUUCCUGAUAAUAUGAGUGAUAAAAAGGUUUUACAACAGUUCUUAGGAAUUGUAAACUAUGCGCGAAACUAUAUAGAUAACUUAGCAAAGCUAGCAGGACCUUUAUAUGCUAAAUUAAGAAAAAAUGGUCAAAGAUACUUCAGUUCUGAAGAUAUAAAAUUAGUAAAGGCCAUCAAGGAAAAGGUCAGGAAUUUAAAACCCCUAGAAUUGCCUCUAGAAGACAAUUAUUUUAUAAUUGAGACAGAUGCAUCUAAGGUAGGAUGGGGUGCGAUACUAAAACAAAAGCCCAAUAAAUACUCUCCAAAGGCAGACGAAAAAAUAUGCAGAUAUGCUUCAGGAAGUUACAAAUUAAAGACGGUAAAUAAUAUUGAUAGAGAAAUUCUUGCAGUGGUAAAUGCAAUAAAUGCAUUUAGGUUAUAUCUAGGAUUUAAAGAAUUUACAGUAUGA